rnacentral:piRNA from 1 species
UUAUCGGGACUAUUACCUGACGGGUGAUCAA